AUUAAAUUAAAUUACUACAGUAUUAUAUACAAUAUUUUAUUAAAUUAAAUUACAUAACUGUGGGAGACAGCAUAUUUAGGGGUUAAACGAUAAAAAUAGCCAUUUAUAAGCAUUUUUCUGACUAUAUCUGAAAGUUGUGGUUUUUCGCAAUUCACAGAUGCCCUAUGAAUGUAACCCCCAUGAAUCUUUGGGGUCCAUUGUGUCUUCUUUGCUGUGUUCUUUAUUUAACUUAAUGCAGAAUUUUAUACCAACUGAAACCAUUUUUCUCACCAUCUAAGGCCAUCUUAGUGAUAUAUAAAGUCAUUGUAAACCAGUGUGGUGCGUGUCCCCAUAUUGGGAACAUAGAGAAACAGGACUCUUUGAAAUUUGGUGCCCGAGAUUGAUUCCUGCUUUGCUACUUACCAACUGUGUGGCUUUAGACCAAUUACUUAACCUCUCUGAACUUCCAGUUUUGUAUCUGUGCAGCAGCCAUGUGACAUCAACCUUGUAGGGGUACUGAUAUCGGAAAGAAAAGAGGAUGAAGUACGUCAAGGGCCUGGCUUCAGGCUUGGUACAGAGCAGGCAUACAGCACAUGAUGCCAUUCCUGGUGGAGGGUGUGGGAUUGUUGUCACACUGGUUGUGCUGUCAGCGACACCCAUCUAAAUGACGCCAGGGCCAGCCAGGUCCCAAGGAGGAGGGCAGUGUGCUGGGCGGUGUCCCGAGGAGGUGGAGAUGCAUGAAGGGUCCCGGUGGAAGAGACAGCUGCUUGCUCAGCUGACUUCGGUCCCUGUUCGGCCGUUCACUCUCGAGAGGCCUCAUUCACCCCGCCCCCAGCCUUGGGAAUCCAGUCACAGGGAGAUGAAAUACACUGCCUCACCGGACACAGCCGGAAAGUAAUAAUGUCAGUUCAAACCGAGGAAUUCUGGUUUCAAAGGCAAGCCUGUAACCCCUUGAGACCAGGCCCGCACGGUAAGGCAGAAGACCAGGUAAGACCAAGUGUCUGCAUCUUUCCCAGCCUAGGAUUUUCUAGUCUUCUCUUAAGGCCGAUUCAGUGCUCAGAUCUUCCAAAUGGACCCGGAAGUGUGGCUGUUUGUAUAAGGGCUUGCGAUAUUUAAACGCUGGCCAUCAAUUCAGUAUUUUCAUAUGGAAUAUUAUCUUUUAAUAUUUUUGUGUAGGCAAAAAACCAAAGAAAAACCAACUUAGCAAGCAAGAUUUCGUCCCUAGGCUGUCGUGUAUGUUUUCUGUUUUGCGUUAUCUGAAACAUUUUUAAUGCGUCUAUGCAGCACAAGCAUAGCAAGGGCGUGCUGCGUGCCUGGGUCUGCUCUGGGAGGCGGGCACACAGAAAAGGCAGAAGGUCUGUCUUCACCAUGUUACACUUGGGCGGGAGAGCAAGGAAAGUAAAGAAGACAGAAGGUACUAAACAAAUCAAAAGACUCUCCCCAGCUAGGGCCAGCGCUCUGCAGGCAGAACAGGGCGGGGGGCCGGCCAGGUCCUCAGUUGUUUACCCCAAGGAAGAGGGGGCGAGGGUAACGCCUCAAGCAAAGGUGAGAAGCAGACAAGAAAAAGAGCUGAAGUAUGUGCUACAUCCAAAGUCCUCAGACCACGGGGCCAGCGGGCACCACUGACUCCCCGCUAACACCAACUCCAUGACAUCACCCACCUCCCGGGGUAAUUUACCUCAUCCCAGUGCAGGUCAAACCACUGGUAUUCUGCAGUCUGCCUCAGUAGGUGGAAUUUAGCUUUAAUUGUCUAAUUGUGCUCUGGCAACGCCUGCCCCAGACUCACGUUGGAGCUCGGCACAGGUGUGCUCCAUGGCAGAUGUUCUAUUUUCAAGGACAGAGAGAAGGAAUCAAGGAGCAUGAUGUCUUCUGCUUCACGAGCAUUACAUAAAAGGGCUGUUUGCGACGACAAUGACGUGAUGAGGAUGAAAAUGAUGCGGUGAAGAGAACAAAAACCAAAGUCGUGAUGACGCCGACAAUGCCAGCGACACUGACGACCUGCCUGGCACUCACACACCCCAUUAGCCAGGCCACAGAGUUCGGGCCCAAGCUGCUUGGAAGAUGGAUGCAUGCACUGGCUUCACAUGUGCUUUAAUUAUUUUCAAGUCAGCACUAAGGAGGUGAGCUGGGGCCAGUGGCAUGCACUUCUGCAAACAAUACCAGGUGGGACGGAAAGGCCAAGGCAGAGCGGCCUCAUCAAGAGAAUGUCGGCAUGCAAAUCUCAGACCCUUUCACGUCCACAGGGCCCAGCUGGCUGUCUGCGGAGGGCUUUGUGUUCUCUGAUUGCUUCGUGGGUAUAGAAGGCAACGUGGGGAGAACUGGGUGCGGGGUGUCAGUCUAAGUGGUCAAGAUCUAAGCCCCGGGACACUCAAUUUCCUCACCUGAGGGUGACAAUUACAGCUGCCCCCCUCCCCAAACUCCAAGGGGAGAAGAUGUCAGAAGGCAUCGGAAAGGCAGAGCGACAAUCAGGCCAGCAAGGAGGAGCUGUUAGCACUGCCCUCUCCCCUCCCCUGGACUCGGAGCUGCUGUGUGAAAGGGCACCCCUCCUGUUUCUUUCCACCGCACUGGGUAGCUUACCACACCAAGCACAGAAGAGGCUUUGUGAGGGUUUUGAUUUGCAAAAAACUUUGUUCUUUUGCAAAAAAGUUCACCUAAGGCCUCCCUUUUUGUUUUCCAUUCAGCACCGGGGAUUGAACUCAGGGCCUUUACAAUGAGCUACAUCUUUAGCCCUUUUUAGUUUUUAUUUUGCAAUAGGGGCUCUGUAAGUGGUUAAAUUAACCAGGAUGGGCUCAAACUUGCAGUCCUCCUGCCUCAGCCUCCCAGAGUUCUGGGAUUAUAGGCAUGCACCACCACAUUCAGUUCCUAAGGUCUUCUUUAGUCACCUCCGUCCAUCCACUUAAAAUAUGAUUGGGUUGUUCAAGAAAUAGAAGAUAGUCCCUCAAUUCUAGAAUAGAAAUGCUGCCCCUUUCAUCGAGACCUUUGCAUUUGUUUUCAAAUCCAAGUUUUACAAAACUCCCUCAAGGUAGAUAUAACAUCUCAUUUUUGGAGAAAACUAAGACUCAGAGAGUUCAAAUCACUUAGUUUUGCACAAAUAACAAGCAGCAGGAGCGAGGUGUGACCCUGGAUUUGCCCUACCCAAAGUUCCCCUGCCUUCCUGUAAGUCACACAGAGCCUGGCUGGCUGAUGGUAAGGGCUAUGGCUCUAAAAACCAUAAAAAUUUAAGUAAUGACUCAACUUGUACAUAUCAUGGAAAACUCAGUCCUUCCUAUAAAAGUCUUACACAUGUGCUCCUGCUACCAAA